ensembl:lncRNA
CAGAAAUAUAAAACCCAAUCUCAUAAUAGGAGCAUGGAGAUUUGGCCUUCUUCAUUCUUAAUGAUUUUAUUCAGAGAAGAUUAUCUUUCCUUUGUUUCAAACAGUGGUGAUCUGGCACUUGUACAGGCUCCCUGUAGGAGGGGGUUGAGACAGAGAGAGCUGGGAAGAAGCACUUUGAGCUGGAAUGUGUCAUUGAGCAGAUUUAAAGGUAUUUUAAUCAUAGGCCUUUAAUGCUAUUUUAGAACAUAUGCGUGGCUCCCUAGCUUAUCUCCUUCUUUCUACUCCAGCUGCUGAGAAAUAGGCAAAUUGCUCUCAGAAAGACGAAUACAGUAUAUUUAUGGGCCUCUCAUUUUUGAUCCCAAGUGUUGAGAACAAGCAAGUUCACAGAAACGUGUGCCUAGAACAGCGCCCCGUGAUCAGAGAGCUCUGUCUACGGAAGGGCUCCUCUCCCCUUCACAUGGACUUAGCUUCCUUCAGAAGCCCACAAGUAGCUUCCUGGGCAGGUUCAGCUCAUUGAUUUGCCACUGCCUUUAUUCUCCUGAAAUAUGACUUUCUAUUCAUGCUAUCCUGGUUUCUAUUCCACCCUGUAAUUUGUGCAAAAAAGCAAAGUAUCAGGCGUGCCUGCUUAACAGUCUAUUGACAUUUUGCAGAACAGAACAGAUUGGACCUAUUUUCUUUCUGCAAUCAGUUUAAAGUAUUUGAACCUUUCUAACAGCUGUGAGACAAUAUUUAUUCUUAGUCAGCAACUGAGUUCAUGAGUCUGACACCAUGUAAUGUAUGUAACUGUGUAUUAAACCACGCAGAGCCGCCUGAGGAAUGAGACAGAGCUUCGACAGGAGAUCAAGCAUGCUCUGAAAAGGACGCUUUGCGCUGCCUCCUCAGACGAAUAGACAUAGAGAUUGCUGGUGGUGGCCUGUGUCUGAUCUCUAGUUGAUGGAAUAUGAACAGAAGCCAUGGACACCCCUUCCACAUCUGGCCAUGUCAUACCAUCUUCCUGGCCCACAGCAAACCAAUAGACUACUGUCACCACUGCCACCACCACCAAAACAGACCUCAAGCUCAAACCUACUAUCAACAUUACAUCCAACUUUAAAGCUGGGCAAAGGAGCCAUCCAGCAUUCUUCUGAUAACCUCAAUUAGCUUAGAUUUGAGAGUACAAAUUGAAAUGAGAAAAGAAAUGCUUGAGCUGCUGGGAAGUGGCACUGACAUUACUGAGACUCUUUGGUGCUUUAAUUGUGCUGGGAAAAAAUACUAAUGGGGUCAAACAAUUGAAGGCUCAAUGAGAUGAAAACAACUGGGAGCAAGAAGGGAAAGAGGGGCGCGGGAGGCUGAGAGGUUAAUAUCAACUUCUGUCUAAUUUCGGAUUUGGAUUAAAAAACAGAGAAGCUCAAACCUGCUCAAAUCGUGCUGCCAUCUGUGACUCUGAUGUGGCAUUUGGAAGAGUAAAAACACAUGCUGGAAAAUUACCAAGACAAAGAAAAGUUCUGGAAUCUCGGCCCAGGAUUUUCCUUUGUGGCUAAAAGGCUGAGCUACUUUGGAAACAUUUGGAUUCCGUUUCUGUUUUAUCUGAGCCGCAAAGUAUCUCUUUCAAAGCACAGACAUUGGAUUCUAUAUAAGGAGGAACCUUUGUGAGUUAAUCCGACAUCAUUUUCCAGGCUUGUCUAGGAGUUACAUCAUUAAUAAAUGUGUUGGUAGUUAUCGAUUAUCUAACA